CCUACGGGUGGCAGCAGUGAGGAAUAUUGGUCAAUGGACGGAAGUCUGAACCAGCCAUGCCGCGUGCAGGAAGACGGCCCUAUGAGUUGUAAACUGCUUUUGUACAAGGGUAAACUUGAACACGUGUAUUGAGCUGAAAGUACCGUAUGAAUAAGGAUCGGCUAACUCCGUGCCAGCAGCCGCGGUAAUACGGAGGAUCCAAGCGUUAUCCGGAUUUAUUGGGUUUAAAGGGUGCGUAGGCGGAUUGAUAAGUUCGGGGUGAAAUGGCGGAGCUUAACUCGGGAACUGCCUCUAAUACGGUUGAUCUAGAGAGUGGAUGCGGUAGGCGGAAUGUGUGGUGUAGCGGUGAAAUGCUUAGAG
rnacentral:rRNA from 1 species